rnacentral:lncRNA from 1 species
AUGUUUUCAGACAGUAUGCUCAUCAUGAGGCUUGUUUUGGGUAAUUUGCUUCUGUUUCUUGCUCUCGGACCCUGCUUCAAGUCCACUGAUGCACAAGAGACAACAACAGAGACAGAUGAAAACACCACCAUCCCAUUACCAAAUAAUGACACUGUGGGGUCAACGUUAAGUUCUGAAAUCACCAGUGCCACACCUGAAAAUACAGUUACUCUAUUACAGACAGAAGCGGAUCCGCAUAAUCCAGAAACCACACUUGUUAAUGAAAUAAACACCAUGCUUGAGGAACCAACAGGCGAGAGUACUCCACCACUGAGUAUUGAACAAACAUCACCAGAAUCUGUUCCUGAAACAACAACUGUACAAACGGAGCAGACCACAGUGACCACCCCUACUUUGCCUGUUAAUGUGGAAACAACAGUGAUUGAACAAAUAACUUCAGAUGCCCCAAGCACAAGUCAGUAUGAAACAACUGUUGGCUUCACCUCUCCUGAGUCGACCAGUACAGAACGUCCUACAGAUGAAAUCACCACAGCAGCUGUAGCCAUGACUACUGAUUCAACAGAAGCCCUCAAUCCCACAUCCAUCCUGACCACACCACCUGAAGACUGGACUGAGUCUCCGUCCAUCAUGUCCGACCCUGUGGACACCAGCACUGAAACCUCCACUACAACUUCAACAACAUCAACAUCAACUACACAGCUCCCUCAAAAUACUGCUGAUUACCUAUACUCGAGGUCUGACGAAGAAUCAGCCUCCACCCAUUUCACCACCACAACAACCGGCGUGAUUAUUGGGGAAAAAAUUAUGUCUUUGAAAACCAGCUGGUUAUUAAUAAUAAUAGUGUUUGUGGCCAUUAUUUUUGCGCUGUGUGUGGGCAUGAUUCUGUUCACCCAGCGGCGAAAGAAAAACGCCUCAAGGAAUUUCAGCCCCAUGUAUAUGAAUGGACAAAGUAAACGGUCCAAAAAUAAAAAAGGGGCGGAGGAUGAUGCGUGGGCGGGGCCUGUCAAACUGGAGGCGGGGGUUGAAUGUGACGCUGAGGUACAGGAGGGUCUAAUGCCUAAUAAUGGGAAACAGGAUGGAGACGAUAUGGUGCUCAGGACAUUCGCCGCUCUGGAUGCAGGAGAUGCCUCUAAUGGUGGAGUGGGUGGGGAUGGUACCAAGGAGGCUAAGAAAUGGGAGGAGCAGGAGCCUCUGCUUUACAUAGAUGAGGAUGUGAAUGAAGGCAAGACUGGAAAAACACUGGAAGAGAGCGAGAAACAGAAUGGAGAUGAAAAAAGUGAAGAGAAGGAGAUGAACGGAGGAGAAACGUUCUGUCUCACCACAGCGGUCUGA